CGGCACUUAAGCAUUUUCAACAAAUAAAGUCACCAACAACAUCACCUCCUAAACACUAGUUCACUAUUAAAGUCACCGAAACUUAAGCUUUUUCAACUAACAAAGGCCCAACGAAACUAAUUCACUAUUAAAGUCACCAAAACUUAAGCAUUUUCAACAAAUAAAGUCACCAACAAAUUCACCUUCUAAACAAAAGUUCACUUUUAAAGUCACCGACUUCACUAUGUCCACAUACCUUUGAUAUUUUUCUUAAUUUCUUGAUAUUUCAAAAUGGCAGCUUCAAUCUUCUUAUAGAUUCUUUCACGGGAAACUGCAAUAUUGAAAAUAAUGAGCUUAGCAAAUUAAAAGAUAGACAACUCCAUUUUCAAGUUACUACAUGUCUACAGCAUGACUGAACUUUGAGCACAUUGUACAAGUUUAUGUCUACUUAAGGUAUAGAUAUUCUAAAACCCUUAAGCAAGAUCAGCCUUAUCUUUUAGAAAAGUAAAGAAACUAAAUUUUUGUCUUGAUGCCACAAUUUAGAAAGAUACAACAAAAGAAAUACAGAUAGUAUUGGAGAACUCUACAUGAAAUACAACAACAACAAACCCAGUGUAUUCUCACACAGUGGUGUACAGAUAGAUCUAAAGUCCAUUAAGCAAAUUGACCUGCAUAUCAACACUUGGAAGCUUAUUCAGCAUUCAGAUAAUAUAAAAUGAGUUAGGAUCCGAAGCUAGAUUUCAUUUAUACCAUAACCUUACCACUAAUGCAGAGCAAACUCGUAAUGCCCAAUUAAUCAGAUCCAAAAUCCCAUACUCAAAUAAUCAGACCGAGCACAUACAUACCAGAAUUUCAAAAUGUAAAAAGACCCAGAUCUGAUAAGAGAAACAUACGUACCCAUCAUAAGAGAGUAAACAAGAAUGUAAUUGUUCUUAAAGAAAUUAAAAGCCUGUGAAGUUGUUAUCCGAUCUCUGAUAGUCUUGCCUCCCAGCUCCAGAUUUGCCACCACAGCAGCUAUAGCACCAAACACAACAUAGUAGAACAACUUCAUUGCCGCCCUCCACGCACCAGCACUAGCUCGAUAUCUCGAUAGUUUGUAUGUUAAUCUUAAUAGAGUUAAUGGAGUUUACCUCUAAACGGAGGAUGCCGACUGGUUGGUGGACGGCUACUUCACCGGCUGGUGGUGCUGCCGGCAUUGGUGGAGAUGGCUGCCGGCUGGUGCAGCGACGGCUGGCAGUGGCUUAACAGAGAAAGUUGGAGCAGUGACGGCUGGCGGCGCUGGGAUUCCGUCGACGGCUGGUGGCGCUGGGGUUCCGUCAUCGUUGAUAGAAAAAGAAGAAGAGUGAGAAGAGAGACAGAUGAGGGUGCGGCUAUUUUUGUGAAAAAUAAAUUAGCGUUUGAGUUAUUUUGUUUAAAAGUGUAAUAAAUGGUGAAUUUAAUCUCAGCCAUUGAUCGGAUGAGAUCAAUGGUUAUGAUUAAAAUUGAGAGGAGUCAAAUGAAAUUGAAAUUGAA
rnacentral:lncRNA from 1 species